rnacentral:rRNA from 1 species
GACGAACGCUGGCGGCGUGCCUAAUACAUGCAAGUGGGACGCAAGGAAACACACUGUGCUUGCACACCGUGUUUUCUUGAGUCGCGAACGGGUGAGUAACGCGUAGGUAACCUGCCUAUUAGCGGGGGAUAACUAUUGGAAACGAUAGCUAAUACCGCAUAAUAUUAAUUAUUGCAUGAUAAUUGAUUGAAAGAUGCAAGCGCAUCACUAGUAGAUGGACCUGCGUUGUAUUAGCUAGUUGGUAAGGUAAGAGCUUACCAAGGCGACGAUACAUAGCCGACCUGUGAGGGUGAUCGGCCACACUGGGACUGAGACACGGCCCAGACUCCUACGGGAGGCAGCAGUAGGGAAUCUUCGGCAAUGGACGAAAGUCUGACCGAGCAACGCCGCGUGAGUGAAGAAGGUUUUCGGAUCGUAAAGCUCUGUUGUAAGUCAAGAACGUGUGUGAGAGUGGAAAGUUACACA